AUUGAACGCUGGCGGCGUGCUUAACACAUGCAAGUCGAGCGGCAGCGCGGGAGCAAUCCUGGCGGCGAGCGGCGAACGGGUGAGUAAUGCUUCGGAAUCUGCCCUUCAGUGGGGAAUAACCAGUCGAAAGACUGGCUAAUACCGCAUACGAACUGAGGUUGAAAGCAGGGGAUCGCAAGACCUUGCGCUGAUGGAUGAGCCGAAGUCGGAUUAGCUUGUUGGUGGGGUAAUGGCCUACCAAGGCGACGAUCCGUAGCUGGUCUGAGAGGACGACCAGCCACACUGGGACUGAGACACGGCCCAGACUCCUACGGGAGGCAGCAGUGGGGAAUAUUGGACAAUGGGGGCAACCCUGAUCCAGCGACGCCGCGUGUGUGAAGAAGGCCUGCGGGUUGUAAAGCACUUUUGUCAGGGGAGAAACGCUCCGGGCUAAAUACCUCGGGGUAAUGACGGUACCUGAAGAAUAAGCACCGGCUAACUACGUGCCAGCAGCCGCGGUAAU
rnacentral:rRNA from 1 species